GCUUAGUAUUCCAACAGCGUCGUUUUCGUUUUUUUGUGUCCAGGUGCCAACACCGAGCUGUCCAUACGGCCCUGAGUCCGCUGAGAAGUGUCAAGGUUUCCAGGAAGAGGUGGGCUCUGUGUCACCGCACGUCAGAGGAUGAAGCUCCGCCCACACUCAGAGGGUUGCUGGAGCCUGACCCGGCUACUGCAGUGAGAAGGCGGGGCACACCCUGGACAGUCUGUUGCAAUGGUAGCGGGCACGGAAGGCCACAAGACGAGCGUAGUAGGCUGGUGCCGGGAUGGAGACCGAGCGGGUACAGCGCACAUAGGUGUGGCACAACUGGUAGGUUAGAAUCUGCAGCUCAUCAGCGGUGAAACGAUUGUCGUCCCAUAAGACGUAGUAAUGAGACGGCCGGCUGGUGCCCUGGCAAAGAA